AUGUGAAAUAGAAUGCCUACAUCAUGAGAUGAAGUGAAUGGAGUAGGCAUUGUGACAUGUUAGGCUACUAUUGACCUAUCAGGUGUAUAGCAUCUACAGUGUGGAUACACUGGACAAAAGGAUGACUAACAUCCUGAGUUAGACACAGCAGGAUCCAGCAAGGAGCCUCCCAGAUGGAGUACAUGGAGACCAUGACUGUGAAAGAUGAGGAUCAAGUGCAGAUUUGGUGGCCUCUGAUUGCCAGUAUCUGGCAGCCACAUUCUCUUCCCACAAGAUGUGCUGGAAAUAUGACCAAGCAGAAGUUCACUUAAGUGAAUCCAACAGUUAAACCUACCAUGGAAGGGUGUGGUGCACAGAGGGCAUGUGGAGAAGAGAAGACCACAGUGGGAACCUCCAAGGAACUAACAUCUAGCUGGGGAUGAGGGGGGAUUUGGCUAUGUAGAGAGUAAAUAAAGUGAUAUGAGAAUUAAAG
rnacentral:lncRNA from 1 species